rnacentral:snoRNA from 1 species
AAGACUAUACUUUCAGGGAUCAUUUCUAUAGUUUGUGAUAAUAGAAUUGCUUUAGAUUACUUAAUGGCUGAAUAGAGAAAUAUCUGUGCAGUUGCUGA